UGUAGAUGGCUUGUUUAAAAUAAGGUUUUGUAAAGUUAUAUGAAAAAUAUUUUUAUUUAAUGGUUAAUAAAGUAAAAUUAAUUGAAAAAUUAAUUGAGAAACUAUAGAGUAUAGUACCGUGAGGGAAAGUUAGUAAUGCCUUGAAAAGUAGAAGUAAAAAUUUGUAUCUUGUGUAUCAGAGAGAACUUAUAUAAGUUAAGUAUAUUAAUCGUCUCGAAAUAAAGUAUAGCUACUUUUUUAAAAUUUUCUUUUUGGAAAAAAAGAAUUAAAUUUAAAGGUAAAAGUGAAAUGCUAGAUGAGCUUUAUAAUAUCUAGUUUUUUUAAAAAUAAAUUAAAUUUAAUUUUUGUGAUUGAAAUGUUGCAAAAUUAAAUGGCAGGAGGGAUCAGCUUCUUGUGUAAAAUGGUAUGAAAGAGUUAAGUAAGAUAAAGGAUUAUAAAUUAGGCUUAGAAGUAGCCAUAUUUAUAAAGUGUUUUAACUAGAUUAAAUAUUUAAAAAUAUUUUUAAAAACUUUUUUAGGGUAUAAAGAAAUUUAUUUAAAUUUUAAAGAAUAAAAUAUAAUGGUUUUAUUAGUAAAAUUUAAUUAGAAGAAUAAUAUAUUGGAAUGUUUGAGAAAGUUUAAAAUUAGCUAUAUCGGUAUAAAGGAAUUCGGCAAAAAAUUUUCUUUGCCUGUUUAUCAAAAACAUGUCUUUUUGUAAAUAAAAAAAGUCCAACCUGCCCACUGAUAUUUUUUAAGGGCCGCGGUAUUUUGACCGUGCGAAGGUAGCGUAGUCAUUAGGUUUUUAAUUGGGAUCUUGUAUGAAUGGUUAGACAAGGGAGAAUCUGUCUCUUUAUUGAAAAUUUAAUUUAACUUUUAAGUGAAAAGGCUUAAAUUAUUUAAAGGGACGAUAAGACCCUAUAAAGCUUGAUAUAAAAGGUUAUUUAAUUAAAUCAGUUAGUAAAACUUUUAUGACCUGGGUUAUUUUAUUGGGGCGAUAAGGGUAAAAUGUUUUGUAACUGCUUUAAAAAUAAAACACGUUAGUUGAGAUAAUUUUUAAGAGAUCCCCAAGUGAGGAUUAUAAGUUUAAGUUACUUUAGGGAUAACAGCGUUAUUUUUUUUGAGAGUACGUAUCGAAAAAAGAGUUUGCGACCUCGAUGUUG
rnacentral:rRNA from 1 species